CUCAGCGAGGUUCCAGGCAGGAAACGGGGGGCCAACUUUCCUGUCGCACAGACCUUCCCGCUGUCCUCGAGCAGCUCCCUCAGGGUCCCCCCCCUUACACGUCUGUGGGUUUGGGGGAGCAGGAGGGCACCGCAGUGUCUCCUCUCCCCGCUCCCAUUCUGCCCCAAGAGCAAGCAGCCUCCGGCCCGGGAACGCUCAGUUCCCCUCCCUCCCACUGCCGUCCCGUCGUGGCGACACAGCAGGGUGGUGGUAGGCCGAAGGGGACAGUGAGCUGUGCCAGGGCCGGUUGUGCCAUUUCUCUCAGUCCUUUUCUCUGAGCGGCUGCCGGAUUGCCAACUUGGAGCCCUUCUUCAGGGUGUGGGAGCCUCUGACGCUUCGGUGUCCGGCCGGGGGCUUUGCAGCGCGGGGCCCGCGGGAAGAGCACCCACGGCCGGUCCCCGCCUUCUUUCCUCGUCUCCACCGAACCUCUCUGGCUCUGCCCGCCCAGUUUCCAAAGGGAAAGGGCCGAGGUCUACAGCCGGUGGGACAGUUUUCCCCAAGGACGGUUCGGGCUUUUAUCCAUCUGCUGGUUUGAUAGUAAAUCAGAGUGGAAGCAUCAGCAGAGUCGAAGCUGACAUUCUCUCCCUGACUCCGCAUCGGACUGUGGUGUGCCCGGAUUGUGAUCUGGCCAAGCUCACUGGGACCCUGCCCUUCCUCUACACCAGCACACUUCUGGUCCUCCCGGAUCCUCUCUCGCAAAUAUUUCUGAAACACUCCUGCUGAAAGGUUACAUAUUCAUCCAGGUCCACCCUGCUCAGGACUGUCACCUCAGCUGCCCUUUGUGGCCAAGGUUCAUGGUCUUUGGAUUUUUGCUCCCUGUGG
ensembl:lncRNA